UUUUUUUGUUGUUGUACAUAAAUAAAGCCAUAAGUUGACUUGUUCGAAUUGUGUUACAUUGUCUUUUCGGGGCCUUUAAUAGCAGACUAUGCGGUAUUGGCAUUGCUCACUGUUAAAGGCCGAAUGGUUAGCUGAUAAAUGUUAAUUUCUAUGUCAUUUGGUUUCAUGUAGAGAGCUAUCUCAUUGACACUCGUACCACUUCUUCCUAUUAUUAUAUAUAUGUUCAGGACGAGAAGCAUGCCACAUACCAUCUAUAGACCACCGUCAAAGAGUUGUUACAAGGGCUAUCAACGUACCAAGAGCACGGAAUAAUUUCUACACGAGGCAUCAGAUUAAACGACCCCAUUCUGACCAGACGUGGAUGCGUACUUGUACAUCCCGCACAGCAAAACGGAUGCCCCACUUUUGCUACGGUUUUCGGGGAGGUAGUCCAAUGGAGACCAUUUUUUCCAAUCACCAGUCAC
rnacentral:lncRNA from 1 species